AUGGAGGGCAGCCAAGCCAGCGUGCUCUGCCCUGAGGCUGAGCUGAGAUGCCGAAGGACAGCAUGGCUUCCAGGCAUCCCAGCAAACAGUUUUAUGGCCAAAAACAGCAAUAGAGUUUUCUGGCAACAGGUUUUAUUGGUACACGAGCAGAAAUCCCCCAGGGAGACUGCGUGUGCUGCUCAAGGUGCCAGCAGCUCACCGGAUGCGUGGGCAUCGCAACAAGCAAAGAUCGCGCGCCCGCUGAAAACCUUCAGAGCAGAGCGGGGACAGGGGCUGUUCCUCCUCGAGGUCACCACUGGGCCAGUGCCAGCACCAUGGUGUUAUCCCUCAGCCAGCCUGCUCCAGCCCUGGCAUGUGGCAUGGGGGAUGCCACAGCUCCUGCCAUGCCACCAGCCAAGGUUUCUCAUCCCUGCACAGGCACUUGGUGCCACCUUGUGCAUGGGGCUGAUGUCCUCCAUCAGGAGAGCGCUGCCUCCGGCUGUGCCCACACCCAGCACCGUGCCGGAGGGGACAGGCAAGAGCUGGCAGGCAGGAAGAGCAAUGCAAACAGGAUGUGCCAGCUUAGCUGCGGUCCCGCUUGCUUUCAGCACUCACAAACUCUUUUUAUCGCAGAGAAAUUUUGGCUGGCAGAAGAGGGACUCAGGCAGUGUGGGGGUGCAGGCUGAUGCUGGGACCCAGUCUUCACUUGAUCCCCAAAGAAACCCCACAGCAGGGAGAGUGAUGGCCCCUGGCUUACAUCAGACCUGCAGGAGUAGCAUGGGAUGUUGGGGGGUCCCCUCCUGGGGGGAGGCACUGCGGGGGUCCCAUGGCAAAGGGCUGGCCACAGGCAGAAGGGAGGAUGUGAGAGCUGGGAGUACAGAUGGGUUAACUCCUGCACUGCCCCCAGCAGCCCCCCAGCCCUUGAGGGAGGUGGAGGCUCUGCCUCUCCCCGCGCGUUGUCUGGGUGCCAAGGGGGCGAAAGCAUGGCUGUUUGAGUCACCCCCGCUCCCCAGGAGGUACAUGGGACAGUGA
rnacentral:lncRNA from 1 species